AAGUCGUAACAAGGUUUCCGUAGGUGAACCUGCGGAAGGAUCAUUAAUGAAAUUAUGACUGGGGUUGUAGCUGGCCCAUAAAACGGCAUGUGCACGCUCCUUUCACAAUCCACAUACACCUGUGCACCUUCGCGGGGGUCCUCUUUCCUUUCGGGAAGAAGGCUCGCGUCCCUUUACACACCCUUUGUAUGUCUUAAGAAUGUCUACUCGAUGUAAUAAAACGCAUCUAAUACAACUUUCAACAACGGAUCUCUUGGCUCUC
rnacentral:misc_RNA from 1 species